rnacentral:rRNA from 1 species
UACGUAGGGUGCAAGCGUUGUCCGGAAUUAUUGGGCGUAAAGAGCUCGUAGGCGGUCUGUCGCGUCUGCUGUGAAAACUCAGGGCUUAACCCUGAGCUUGCAGUGGGUACGGGCAGACUAGAGUGCGGUAGGGGAGACUGGAAUUCCUGGUGUAGCGGUGAAAUGCGCAGAUAUCAGGAGGAACACCGGUGGCGAAGGUGGGUCUCUGGGCCGUAACUGACGCUGAGACGCGAAAGCGUGGGGAGCAAACAGG